CGGGUGAGUAACACGUGGGUAACCUGCCUUCAGCUCUGGGAUAAGCCCGGGAAACUGGGUCUAAUACCGGAUAUGACGCAUCACCGCAUGGUGUGUGUGUGGAAAGUUUUUCGGCUGAAGAUGGACUCGCGGCCUAUCAGCUUGUUGGUGGGGUAGUGGCCUACCAAGGCGAUGACGGGUAGCCGGCCUGAGAGGGCGACCGGCCACACUGGGACUGAGACACAAUAACAAACUUAUACGGGAGGCAGCAGUGGGGAAUAUUGCGCAAUGGGCGAAAGCCUGACGCAGCAACGCCGCGUGAGGGAUGACGGCCUUCGGGUUGUAUACCUCUUUCAGCGCUGACGAAGCUUUCGGGUGACGGUAGGCGCAGAAGAAGCACCGGCUAACUACGUGCCAGCAGCCGCGGUAAUACGUAGGGUGCGAGCGUUGUCCGGAAUUAUUGGGCGUAAAGGGCUCGUAGGCGGUUUGUCACGUCUGCUGUGAAAGCCCGGGGCUUAACCCCGGGUCUGCAGUGGAUACGGGCAGGCUAGAGUUCGGCAGGGGAGACUGGAAUUCCUGGUGUAGCGGUGGAAUGCGCAGAUAUCAGGAGGAACACCGGUGGCGAAGGCGGGUCUCUGGGCCGAUACUGACGCUGAGGAGCGAAAGCGUGGGGAGCGAACAGGAUUAGAUACCCUGGCUAGUCCACGCCGUAACGUUGGGCGCUAGGUGUGGGUUCCCUUCCACGGGGUCCGUGCCGUAGCUAACGCAUUAAGCGCCCGGCUGGGGAGUACGGACGCAGGCUAAAACUCAAGGAUUGACGGGGCCCGCA
rnacentral:rRNA from 1 species